rnacentral:misc_RNA from 1 species
GCCAAGUGCAACACUCAGAUGGUGAUUCCCCACCUUACAGAAAAUUAUGGUGCAUCAAGGGAUCCACCAGAAAAACAAGCACCUAUGUGUACAGUUCACUCUUUCCCUCACAACAUCGACCAUUGCUUAACAUGGGCCCGCUCAGAAUUUGAGGGCUUGCUAGAGAAGACACCAACUGAAGUUAAUGCUUAUCUGAUCAAUCCUACCGAUUACAUAUCUUCUAUGCAAAAGGCUGGUGAUGCACAGGCCAGGGACAUUUUGGAUCGUGUUCUUGAGUGCCUCGACAAAGAGAGAUGUGAUUCAUUUGAGGACUGCAUAACCUGGGCUCGCCUGAGGUUUGAAGAUUACUUUGCAGAUCGUGUUAAGCAGUUGACAUAUACUUUUCCUGAGGAUGCCACUACAAGUAGUGGUGCUCCAUUCUGGUCAGCACCAAAACGUUUCCCUCGACCAUUGCAAUUUUCUGUUGAUGAUGCCAGUCAUCUUCAAUUUCUCCUGGCAGCCUCUAUGUUACGAGCAGAAACAUUUGGCAUUUCCAUUCCAGAUUGGGUGAACUCUCCUCAAAAGUUAGCUGAAGCUGUUGAUAAAGUGAUGGUCCCCGAUUUCCAGCCAAAGAAAGAUGUGAAGAUUGUGACAGAUGAGAAAGCAACCAGCAUGUCGGCAUCAUCCAUAGAUGAUGCUGCAGUCAUAAACGAGUUGGUGAUGCAGCUGGAAACGUGUCGUCAGAAAUUACCUUCAGGUUACAAGAUGAAUCCCAUUCAAUUUGAAAAGGACGAUGACACCAACUAUCAUAUGGACUUCAUUGCUGGACUUGCAAACAUGAGGGCUAGAAACUAUAGCAUCCCUGAAGUGGAUAAACUGAAGGCCAAAUUCAUAGCAGGGAGGAUCAUUCCAGCAAUUGCUACUUCUACUGCUAUGGCCACUGGUCUUGUUUGUCUUGAGCUUUAUAAGGUUUUGAAUGGAGGUCAUAAGGUGGAGGACUACCGCAACACUUUUGCCAACUUGGCUCUCCCUUUAUUUUCCAUGGCUGAACCAGUUCCACCAAAGGUGAUCAAGCAUCAGGACAUGAGCUGGACUGUGUGGGACAGGUGGAUUUUGAAAGACAAUCCAACUUUGAGGGAGCUUCUUCAGUGGCUUCAAAACAAAGGUCUGAAUGCUUAUAGCAUCUCUUACGGGAGCUGCUUACUUUAUAACAGCAUGUUCCCUAAGCAUAAAGAGCGGAUGGAUCGGAAAAUGGUGGAACUGGCCAAGGAAGUAGCCAAGGCAGAUCUGCCUCCGUACAGGAAACAUUUUGACGUGGUAGUGGCUUGUGAGGAUGAUGAAGACAACGAUGUUGAUAUCCCUCAAGUCUCUAUUUAUUUCAGGUAGAUUGUUUGUUCUUUCCUGUAACCGCUCACCGGAGUAGCCUGAAAUCAUAGGGUGACAGUUGAUUUUCUCCAUGCUAUGUUUGGUCUUUCUUGUUGGCAAAAGCUAGAUAGAUAUAUUCUAUUCUAUACUAGCCAGCCUGCAUACAAAGUCAGAACCAUAUGUUGAGUAGUAAAAUUAUGACGACUGUUGAACUUCGAGCAUCUGAUUUAUCACAUGUCUCCAUUUUCU